GACGAACGCUGGCGGCGUGCUUAACACAUGCAAGUCGAACGGAAAGGCCCUGCCUUUGUGGGGUGCUCGAGUGGCGAACGGGUGAGUAACACGUGAGUAACCUGCCCUUGACUUUGGGAUAACUUCAGGAAACUGGGGCUAAUACCGGAUAGGAGCUCCUGCUGCAUGUUGGGGGUCGGAAAGUUUCGGCGGUUGGGGAUGGACUCGCGGCUUAUCAGCUUGUUGGUGGGGUAGUGGCUUACCAAGGCUUUGACGGGUAGCCGGCCUGAGAGGGUGACCGGCCACAUUGGGACUGAGAUACGGCCCAGACUCCUACGGGAGGCAGCAGUGGGGAAUAUUGCACAAUGGGCGGAAGCCUGAUGCAGCAACGCCGCGUGCGGGAUGACGGCCUUCGGGUUGUAAACCGCUUUCGCCUGUGACGAAGCGAGAGUGACGGUAAUGGGUAAAGAAGCACCGGCUAACUACGUG
rnacentral:rRNA from 1 species